GACGAACGCUGGCGGCGUGCUUAACACAUGCAAGUCGAACGGAAAGGCCCUGCUUUUGUGGGGUGCUCGAGUGGCGAACGGGUGAGUAACACGUGAGUAACCUGCCCUUGACUUUGGGAUAACUUCAGGAAACUGGGGCUAAUACCGGAUAGGAGCUCCUGCUGCAUGGUGGGGGUCGGACAGUUUCGGCGGAUGGGGAUGGACGGGCGGGUUAUCAGCUUGUUGGUGGGGUAUUGGCUUACCAACGCUUUGACGGGUAGCCGGCCUGAGAGGGUGACCGGGCACAUUGGGACUGAGAUAGGGACCAGACGCGUACGGGAGGCAGCAGGGGGGAAUAUUGCACAAUGGUGGGAAGCCUGAUGCAGCAACGCCGCGUGCGUGAUGACGGCCUUCGGGUUGUAAACCGCUUUCGCCUGUGACGAAGCGUGAGUGACGGUAAUGGGUGAAUAAGCACCGGCUAACUACGUG
rnacentral:rRNA from 1 species